UAUAGCAAAUUAUUUACUCGUUGGACAUAAAAAAUACAACUAAAUUGUUACGUCGGUGGUUUAAAUGAGGAAAACUGAACAAGGAAGGCGGGAUAAUAUUCUUUAAUAUUUGCAAUUUUCCUGGUACAUUUGUAAAGGAACAAACCUAUGAAAGUCGUGCUUGCAACAGGGAUAUCAAAUAAGGACAAAACUCAAACGCUUAAGGAAAUGUAGAUACCAAAAUCAACAUCAACAUCAAGUAGAUUGAAUGACUUUUUUGUCCUUGUUCCUUAACAGCGAGGUCCUAUUUAAAUGAAUAAACCUUGCAACGUACAACAAAUUACCAUUUUGCUGUGAAAAUACAACUUCUGCACUUUUUCAUUAUUUGGAUAUAUCAGCGAGGCCAGUUAUAAUGGAAAAUGCGGCCUUCGGUAUUGUUCAAGGACAGUUUCUAGAGGAUGAAGUAAAGGACUUAUGGUAUACAAACCGCCAUUAAGAUGAAUGCCAAGACAGCAGUAACAUCGGUCAAAUAAAUAAAACGUUGAGGAAUUCCAUAGGUGCUGUUUAACAUGUCAUUUUAAUGAUUUAACAAUUAUCAUGGAUCUGAACGAACAUAUAACUGGGAAAUGAAUAUUCUAUUCAGAAGGACAGUGCAGGUUGUUGGAUUGUCAUCGUUGGACUUCAUUACUAACGUCAUUCUUUUCACACAUUUGAGACUGAACACUGUGUUUUCCAGUGAGAAAUGUCUCGGCACGGAAUUACGUACAAUAAUAAUACGGACAAAAAAGUAUGAAAAACGUUCUUCACAUGAGCUAUAAUUUCAGUGUUGCUUUUACUAUUUCUGAAUUGGAUACAUUCAAGAGGUAACAUUGCAGACUUGAUGUUUAUACUUGGUUCUUUUUAUUCUCAUGCCACUUUACAUAAUCGAAGUUUAUAAAGGUCCAUUUCAAUAUAAUGUUUGUGAUUUAUCGUGUAUUAAACUUCAAAUAAACUUUAUAGUUGCA